UACGUAGGGUGCGAGCGUUAAUCGGAAUUACUGGGCGUAAAGCGUGCGCAGGCGGUUUUGUAAGCCAGGUGUGAAAUCCCCGGGCUCAACCUGGGAAUGGCAUUUGGGACUGCAAGGCUGGAGUGCGGCAGAGGAGACUGGAAUUCCUGGUGUAGCAGUGAAAUGCGUAGAUAUCGGGAGGAACACCAGUGGCGAAAGCGGCUUCCUGGUCCAGCACCGACGUUCAGGCACGAAAGCGUGGGGAGCAAACAGG
rnacentral:rRNA from 1 species